rnacentral:rRNA from 1 species
GUGGCGACCGGCGCACGGGUGCGUAACGCGUAUGUAACCUACCUAUAACAGGGGCAUAACACUGAGAAAUUGGUACUAAUUCCCCAUAAUAUUCGGAGAGGCAUCUCUCCGGGUUGAAAACUCCGGUGGUUAUAGAUGGACAUGCGUUGUAUUAGCUAGUUGGUGAGGUAACGGCUCACCAAGGCAACGAUACAUAGGGGGACUGAGAGGUUAACCCCCCACACUGGUACUGAGACACGGACCAGACUCCUACGGGAGGCAGCAGUGAGGAAUAUUGGUCAAUGGACGCAAGUCUGAACCAGCCAUGCCGCGUGCAGGAAGACGGCUCUAUGAGUUGUAAACUGCUUUUGUACGAGGGUAAACUCACCUACGUGUAGGUGACUGAAAGUAUCGUACGAAUAAGGAUCGGCUAACUCCGUGCCAGCAGCCGCGGUAAUACGGAGGAUUCAAGCGUUAUCCGGAUUUAUUGGGUUUAAAGGGUGCGUAGGCGGUUUGAUAAGUUAGAGGUGAAAUCCCGGGGCUUAACUCCGGAACUGCCUCUAAUACUGUUAGACUAGAGAGUAGUUGCGGUAGGCGGAAUGUAUGGUGUAGCGGUGAAAUGCUUAGAGAUCAUACAGAACACCGAUUGCGAA